rnacentral:rRNA from 1 species
CUGGCGGCGUGCCUAAUACAUGCAAGUCGAACGGUCUUUCUAUGGAAGCUUGCUUCCACUGAGAAGAUAGUGGCGAACGGGUGAGUAACACGUGGGUAACCUACCCAUAAGAGGGGGAUAACAUCCGGAAACGGGUGCUAAUACCGCAUAGUUUUCUUGAUCGCAUGAUCGGGAAAGGAAAGACGGCCUUUGUGCUGUCGCUUAUGGAUGGACCCGCGGCGUAUUAGUUAGUUGGUGAGGUAACGGCUCACCAAGACGAUGAUACGUAGCCGACCUGAGAGGGUGAUCGGCCACAUUGGGACUGAGACACGGCCCAAACUCCUACGGGAGGCAGCAGUAGGGAAUCUUCCGCAAUGGACGAAAGUCUGACGGAGCAACGCCGCGUGAGUGAAGAAAAGGUUUUCGGAUCGUAAAACUCUGUUGUCAGAGAAGAACAAGUUGGAGAGUAACUGCUCCAGCCUUGACGGUAUCUGACCAGAAAGCCACGGCUAACUACGUGCCAGCCGCCGC